AAAGCGGUACGUGAGCUGGGUUUAGACCGUCGUGAGACAGGUCGGUCCCUAUCUGGUGUGGGUGUAGGAUGAUUGAGAAGAUUUACCCCUAGUACGAGAGGAUUGGGGUGGACGAACCUCUGGUGCACCAGUUGUCACGGGAGUGGCACUGCUGGGUAGCUAAGUUCGGAAAGGAUAAGCGCUGAAUGCAUAUAAGCGCGAAGCCCUCUUCAAGACGAAUCAUCCCCAUGAGCCCCCUGAGAGACUAUCAGGUGAUAGGCCGGCGGUGGAAGCACAGCGAUGUGUUAUGAGCUAACCGGUACUAAUUGGGCCAUAGGCUUAACCACC
rnacentral:rRNA from 1 species